GAUGAACGCUGGCGGCGUGCUUAACACAUGCAAGUCGAAUGAAGCGCUUAAGAUUGAUUCUUCGGAUGAUUUCUUUUGUGACUUAGUGGCGGACGGGUGAGUAACGCGUGGGUAACCUGCCUCACACAGGGGGAUAACAGUCAGAAAUGACUGCUAAUACCGCAUAACCCGAUAGGAUCGCAUGAUCCAGACGGAAAAGAUUUAUCGGUGUGAGAUGGACCCGCGUCUGAUUAGCUAGUUGGUGAGGUAACGGCCCACCAAGGCGACGAUCAGUAGCGGGCCUGAGAGGGUGAACGGCCACAUUGGGACUGAGACACGGCCCAAACUCCUACGGGAGGCAGCAGUGGGGAAUAUUGCACAAUGGGGGAAACCCUGAUGCAGCGACGCCGCGUGAGUGAAGAAGUAUUUCGGUAUGUAAAGCUCUAUCAGCAGGGAAGAAAAUGACGGUACCUGACUAAGAAGCCCCGGCUAACUACGUGCCAGCCGCCGCCGUAA
rnacentral:rRNA from 1 species